rnacentral:lncRNA from 1 species
GAAGAGCUGCCCAAGCAGAAAGCUGCAGCUUGGGGAUAAGCCUCCCUGAGGCUACAGAAGCAAAGCCCAGAGAUGGGAGUCGGGGAGACAGAGCCUCCUCAUGAUGUCACGAUGUCACCUGAGCUCCUGGGUCCAGCUUGUUUCAUGAGCUGAGACUAAUGAUUGUAACUGUUCGGGCACGGUGAGGCAAGAGGAACGUACAGUUACAGAAUCCGUGGGCAAAGCAUCUCGGGGCCAGGAGCGAGCCUGAAGGCACUGUGUAGGCCUUGAUCAGUUUAGCAAUUUCUACGAUUCUGACAUCCUCUUUCUGUUCUUUCCGGACUCAGGCAUCCAAGGUCACCUCAUUAUGGCUCUGUGCGAAGACAGCACCCCAAAGGGGCCAUCGAUUUGGAACAUCUGAUCGGCUUUCUGAGUCAGAUCCACUAGCUCGUAAAAUCCAAUAAAUGUCAAAGAUAUGUCAGGCCCAUUAACCUCUGGAGGUCUAUUAAAAGACUCUGCUUCUGCUAAGGAGAUUCUGUUACUGUCACAUGGACACCAGGGCAGCCAAUUCUAAACCCCUGAAUUUAGAAA